rnacentral:rRNA from 1 species
GAUGAACGCUGGCGGCGUGCCUAAUACAUGCAAGUCGAGCGAACGGACGAGACGCUUGCUUCUCUGAUGUUAGCGGCGGACGGGUGAGUAACACGUGUAUACCCUACCUAUAAUACUGGGAUCAUUUCGGGACACCGGAGCUAAUACCGGAUGAUAUUCUGAACCGCAUGGUUCAAAAGUGAAAGUCGGUCUUGCUGUCACUUCUAGAUGGAUCCGCGCUGCAUUAGCUAGUUGGUAAGGUAACGGCUUACCAAGGCAACGAUGCAUAGCCGACCUGAGAGGGUGAUCGGCCACACUGGAGCUGGGACACGGACCAGACUCCUACGGGAGGCAGCAGUAGGGAAUCUGCCGCAAUGGGCGAAAGCCUGACGGAGCGACGCCGCGUGAGUGAUGGAGGUCUUCGGAUCGUAAAGCUCUGUUAUUAGGGAAGAACAGAUGUGUAAGUAAAUGUGGACAUCGUGACGGUACCUAAUCAGAAAGCCACGGCUAACUACGUG